AACGUAACAUUUCAACUCAUUCUUUCUCUCUCUUCAAUCUUACGCUCAACAUUUCUCUCUCUUCAACCUUACACUCAUAAGGAGCUUUACAGAAACCCUAAAAAAUUCUUCUCUCUUGGAGAAGACGACCGGAGGCGGCGGCUCACAGCGGAGCCUCCGUCCAUCUCCGGUAACCCUACCCAAAACGUGACCUAAACCACUACCUACAACCUCCCGAGUUCGAAUCCGGACUCUGAAAUCCCUAAACCAAACUCAAGGCGUUUGCAUGUUGCGAUAGCGAAAUAAAAGGGGUUCGUUAUAUUUACCACGGCGAAGGAGGUGAGUGGUGGCUUCAGGCGAAGAAGGAGCGCUUUGAUCCGAGUCCGUCGUCAACAACCCGUCGCAGUUUCGGAUAAGUUUUCUUCCUCAACCUGCUUCUUUGUCUGUUUUCGUGAAAGUUUUUUAGAUUUUCUCUGGGAUUUCAAGAAAAGUCUUUCUGUUUCUCUUUUAGGGUCUUUUUGAGAUAUAUUGCUGCUAUGUAUUCUGGGUUUGAAAGAUAUUGCUCUGUUGUCCUGUGUUCGAUUUUUAGGUUUUUUAGAAAAAUUGUUGUGCUCUUGAUGUGUGAAAAAUUGCUCUGUUCUCGUGUGGUUUUUUUUUUUUUUGUUAACUUCUCAUCAUCUUCUUUAUGAAGAAAAUCUUAAGUCUUAAAAACUCCUUUUUUGUUAUACCUUUUUCUUCCAGAUUACAUGGGAUUCCAUUUGUAGAUUUGUUACUGUUUUAAGCUAUUUUCAAAGUGCUUUUUUGAGUGUUCAUGUUAACCUGCUGGGUAAAGUUUCAAACUGAGUAAUUUAUUUAGUUAUUUUUCAGUUUUUUAAGCGCUUUUGAAAAGUGCUUUUUUAAUUAAGCUGUUUUUCCUCUUUGCAGGUUACAGGAAUGAAGUGACCCCUAUUGAAGGGUGAAGUCUGCGUCAGCCCUAUUGAGGAGGGGGUUGGAUUUUAAGGUGCUUUGACCUAGACGACGGUCUUGGGCGCUGGCUUUUGAGAGUUCUAUUUCCAAACUGCUGGAUUUUCAGCAGCUUUUAAUUUUUCAAUUUUAGUCAUCAAGAUGUAACUUUGGACCCUUUGGAUAAUUGUAUUAAUUUCCAAACUGCUGGAUUUUCAGCAGCUUUUAAUUUUUCAAUUUUAGUCAUCAAGAUGUAACUUUGGACCCUUUGGAUAAUUGUAUUAACUUUGGAAUUUAUUUGUGAUAUCCUAGACCAAAAAAGAAUUUAUGUAAUUAAUCUCUUUUCAAACAUUUAAACUUUAUUUUAAUAUUUCAAUUAGGAACUUGUUAAUCAAUUAAAUCAUUUUGAAC
rnacentral:lncRNA from 1 species